GGAUGGGGUGGCAGAGCGGCUGAACGCACUGGUCUUGGAAAAACCAGCAAGGGGGCAACCCUUCGUGGGUUCGAAUCCCACCCCAUCCGCCA
rnacentral:tRNA from 1 species